rnacentral:misc_RNA from 1 species
GGAAGGAUCAUUACUGAGUUAGGGUCCCAGGUGGCCCAACCUCCAACCCCUUGCGUACCGUCCAGAAGUGAAGUCUUCUGUGCUUGCGAGUGUUGCUUCGGUGGGUCGAGCACCUGCCGGAGCCCAACCCCAAAACCUAUUUUGAACCAUGUCGUCUGAGUCCCAGAUAUGAAAUUGUUAAAACUUUCAACAACGGAUCUCUUGGUUCCCGCAUCGAUGAAGAACGCAGCGAAAUGCGAUAAGUAAUGUGAAUUGCAGAAUUCAGUGAAUCAUCGAAUCUUUGAACGCACAUUGCGCCCCUUGGCAUUCCGGGGGGCAUGCCUGUUCGAGCGUCAUUGUCAAAUCCUCAAGCCUGACUUGGUGUUGGGCUCUCGCUCUCUGCUCCUGAAGGGGGGGGGCGUGCCCGAAAAUCAUUGGCGGUGCUUCGAUGGCCUCAAGCGUAGUGGACUUGCUCGCGCUUUAGAGUGUCCAUUGUGGGCUCACCAGCCUUGAAUGUGCUUUGUCACACAAGAAGCUUGACCUCGGAUCAGGUAGGGAUACCCGCUGAACUUAAGCAUAUCAAUAAGCGGAGGAAAAGAAACCAACAGGGAUUGCCUCAGUAACGGCGAGUGAAGCGGCAACAGCUCAAAUUUGAAAUCUGGUUCCCCGCAGGGGCCCGAGUUGUAAUUUGCAGAGGAGAUCUUCGGGUUUGGCCCCGGCCUAAGUUCCUUGGAACAGGACGUCACAGAGGGUGAGAAUCCCGUAUGUGGCUGGAGGUCUAUGCCCAUGUGAAGCUCCUUCGACGAGUCGAGUUGUUUGGGAAUGCAGCUCAAAAUGGGUGGUAAGUUUCAUCUAAAGCUAAAUACCGGCGGGAGACCGAUAGCGCACAAGUAGAGUGAUCGAAAGAUGAAAAGCACUUUGGAAAGAGAGUUAAAAAGUACGUGAAAUUGUUGAAAGGGAAGCGCUUGCGACCAGACUUGCCCCCGGCUGAUCAAUCGGUGUUCCUCACCGGUGCACUCGGUCGUGGUCAGGCCAGCAUCGGUCUGGGCGGUUGGAGAAAGGCCCCGUGGAAUGUGGCUCCCCUCGGGGAGUGUUAUAGCCCGGGGCGUCACGCAGCCAGCUUGGACCGAGGACCGCGCCUUCGGGCUAGGAUGCUGGCAUAAUGGUCGUAAGCGACCCGUCUUGAAACACGGACCAAGGAGUCUAACAUCUAUGCGAGUGUUUGGGCGUCGAAACCCAUGCGCGCAAUGAAAGUGAACGGAGGUGGGAACCCUGGAGGGUGCACCAUCGACCGAUCCUGAUGUCUUCGGAUGGAUUUGAGUAGGAGCAUAGCUGUUGGGACCCGAAAGAUGGUGAACUAUGCCUGAAUAGGGUGAAGCCAGAGGAAACUCUGGUGGAGGCUCGCAGCGGUUCUGACGUGCAAAUCGAUCGUCAAAUUUGGGUAUAGGGGCGAAAGACUAAUCGAACCAUCUAGUAGCUGGUUCCUGC